GGGUCAGUAGGUUGGUCGUGCCACCGGUACGUACUGGUCUCACUGAUUCCUCCUUCCUGAAGAACCGUAAUGCCAUUAAUUUGGUGUUGCGGGGAAACAGGACUGUUACUUUGAAAAAUUAGAGUGUUUAAAGCAAGCUAACGCUUGAAUACAUUAGCAUGGAAUAAUGGAAUAGGACGAUCGAUCCUAUUUUGUUGGUUUCUAGGAUUGACGUA
rnacentral:rRNA from 1 species